ACGGGGCCCGGCCGACAAGCGGUGGAGUAUGUGGCUUAAUUCGUAUGCAACGCGAAGAACCUUAACCUGGUCUUGACAUCCCGGAGACCCUUAGGAAACUAGGGGUGCUUCCAUCUGGAAGAAUCUGGAGACAGGUGCUGCAUGGCUGUCGUCAGCUCGUGUCGUGAGAUGUUGGGUUAAGUCCCGCAACGAGCGCAACCCUUGCCUUUAGUUGCCAGCAGUUCGGCUGGGCACUCUAAAGGGACUGCCGGUGUUAAACCGGAGGAAGGUGGGGAUGACGUCAAGUCCUCAUGGCCUUUAUGACCAGGGCUACACACGUACUACAAUGGCCGAUACAAAGGGCAGCGACACUGCGAGGUGAAGCCAAUCCCGUAAAAUCGGUCUCAGUCCGGAUUGGAGUCUGCAACUCGACUCCAUGAAGUUGGAAUCGCUAGUAAUCGUGGAUCAGCAUGCCACGGUGAAUACGUUCCCGGGCCUU
rnacentral:rRNA from 1 species